UGGAUCCAGACUUUGAUUAUGGCUCAGGAUGAACGCUAGCUACAGGCUUAACACAUGCAAGUCGAGGGGAAACGACAUCGAAAGCUUUCUUUUGAUGGGCGUCGACCGGCGCACGGGUGAGUAACGCGUAUCCAACCUGCCCACCACUUGGGGAUAACCUUGCGAAAGUAAGACUAAUACCCAAUGACGUCUCUAGAGGACAUCUGAAAGGGAUUAAAGAUUUAUCGGUGAUGGAUGGGGAUGCGUCUGAUUAGCUUGUUGGCGGGGUAACGGCCCACCAAGGCUACGAUCAGUAGGGGUUCUGAGAGGAAGGUCCCCCACAUUGGAACUGAGACACGGUCCAAACUCCUACGGGAGGCAGCAGUGAGGAAUAUUGGUCAAUGGACGAGAGUCUGAACCAGCCAAGUAGCGUGCAGGAUGACGGCCCUAUGGGUUGUAAACUGCUUUUAUAAGGGAAUAAAGUGAGUCUCGUGAGACUUUUUGCAUGUACCUUACGAAUAAGGACCGGCUAAUUCCGUGCCAGCAGCCGCGGUAAUACGGAAGGUCCGGGCGUUAUCCGGAUUUAUUGGGUUUAAAGGGAGCGUAGGCCGGAGAUUAAGCGUGUUGUGAAAUGUAGAUGCUCAACAUCUGCACUGCAGCGCGAACUGGUUUCCUUGAGUACGCACAAAGUGGGCGGAAUUCGUGGUGUAGCGGUGAAAUGCUUAGAUAUCACGAAGAACUCCGAUUGCGAAGGCAGCUCACUGGAGCGCAACUGACGCUGAAGCUCGAAAGUGCGGGUAUCGAACAGGAUUAGAUACCCUGGUAGUCCGCACGGUAAACGAUGGAUGCCCGCUGUUGGUCUGAAUAGGUCAGCGG
rnacentral:rRNA from 1 species